rnacentral:lncRNA from 1 species
ACAUGUCACCGAAAAUUGGACAGCACUUCGUUGCAUAUAGAAGAAUCUAAUUACCUGUAUCAGUACAACACGCGCAAAUAUAUAUAUAUAUAUAUAUAUAUAAUACUUGGCCGUCGGGGCCACCACAUAUACAGAUAUAACAUCACUAUAUAAACUUCCAUGACUUUACCCUUCCUUAUGUCUACAAAGCCUCUAGGAUAUACAUG